rnacentral:rRNA from 1 species
UACGGAGGGUGCAAACGUUGCUCGGAAUCAUUGGGCGUAAAGCGCACGUAGGCGGCUCGUUAAGUCGGAUGUGAAAGCCCCGGGCUUAACCUGGGAAUGGCAUUGGAAACUGGCGGGCUUGAGUGCGGCAGAGGGGGGUGGAAUUCCGCGUGUAGCAGUGAAAUGCGUAGAGAUGCGGAGGAACACCGAUGGCGAAGGCAGCCCCCUGGGUCGACACUGACGCUCAGGCACGAAAGCGUGGGGAGCAAACAGG